rnacentral:rRNA from 1 species
UACGUAGGGGGCGAGCGUUGUCCGGAUUUAUUGGGCGUAAAGAGCUCGUGGGCGGCUGUUCGAGUCGGGGGUGAAACCCCAGGGCUUAACUCUGGGACUGCAUCCGCUACUGGGCGGCUUGAGUCUGGUAGGGGGAUCUGGAAUUCCUGGUGUAGCGGUGGAAUGCGCAGAUAUCAGGAGGAACACCGGUGGCGAAGGCGGGAUCCUGGGCCAGUACUGACGCUGAGGAGCGAAAGCGUGGGGAGCAAACAGG